rnacentral:piRNA from 1 species
UUGCUGUGAAUUGCAUGCUGUUGGGA